rnacentral:piRNA from 1 species
GCUGCCCUGAGACUGUGCUCUUGACC